rnacentral:tRNA from 1 species
AAAGGUAAAUAUAAUUCAAAGGUAGAAUGUCUGCUUGUGGCGCAGUAUGUCUGAGUUCGAUUCUCAGUUUUUACCCUUCC